rnacentral:rRNA from 1 species
CCUACGGGAGGCAGCAGUCGAGAAUCAUUCACAAUGGGGGAAACCCUGAUGGUGCGACGCCGCGUGGGGGAAUGAAGGUCUUCGGAUUGUAAACCCCUGUCAUGUGGGAGCAAAUUAAAAAGAUAGUACCACAAGAGGAAGAGACGGCUAACUCUGUGCCAGCAGCCGCGGUAAUACAGUGGUCUCAAGCGGUGUUCGGAAUCACUGGGCGUAACGCGUGCGUAGGCUGUUUCGUAAGUCGUGUGUGAAAGGCGCGGGCUCAACCCGCGGACGGCACAUGAUACUGCGAGACUAGAGUAAUGGAGGGGGAACCGGAAUUCUCGGUGUAGCAGUGAAAUGCGUAGAUAUCGAGAGGAACACUCGUGGCGAAGGCGGGUUCCUGGACAUUAACUGACGCUGAGGCACGAAGGCCAGGGGAGCGAAAGGGAUUAGAUACCCCGGUAGUC